rnacentral:rRNA from 1 species
UACGUAGGGUGCAGGCGUUAAUCGGAAUUACUGGGCGUAAAGCGUGCGCAGGUGGUCUGCUAAGAGAGAUGUGAAAUCCCCGGGCUUAACCUGGGAACUGCGUUUCUAACUGGCAGGCUUGAGUGUGGCAGAGGGGGGUGGAAUUCCACGUGUAGCAGUGAAAUGCGUAGAGAUGUGGAGGAACACCGAUGGCGAAGGCAGCCCCCUGGGCUAACACUGACGCUCAUGCACGAAAGCGUGGGGAGCAAACAGG